CCUAAUGUUCUAAAUUUCAAUUUGGAUAAAACAAGAUGAGCGAAAAACCCAAAACCCUAUUAGUCCGUUCUCCAACAAACCCUACGGGCUAGUAAACCUCCCAACAAGAAGAAAACACUUAGAGCUCCUUUCCCUCCAACUUUCGUCCCAUUGGGCGACCCUGCGGUAAUAUUUAGACCGUUGGAUCAAAUCACUUAAAUAUCUCACUGUAAGCUACACAUUGUGCCUUUUUCUUCUCUGAAUUCAAACAAACUUGGGCAUUUUCAAAAGAUUCGCAUGUUCUAGCGCUGAAAAAAUCCUUCAAAGCUUCUCCUGGUCGUGGCUUCAAAGAGCCAUCAUACAAGAGCCCCAGAGUUGAUUUGUUGAAAGACACUAUGCAAAAUUUUAGUGAUGUACUUGCUAAGAGUUAUAAGGGCAAGAAAAGGUAGGUUCUAUAAUGUCAAAUGGGUGCUUUGAUAAGAUACGCUGAUCAACUUCUUUGUGGACUCCAAGAGUGGCAUCGCCCUCCUCCAAUUUGUGGAUACAUUUGAUAGAGUUAAAUUAGUGCAGAUGCUUCUGGUCGAGGUUGGGCUACAACGUGUGGUUCAUUUUAUCAUAGAUAAUGUAGCUUUCAUGGAGAAAUACUCUACAUUGUUUUGGAGAUUGUGCACAUCAUGUUGUCUUGAUUGACAAGAUAUUGGUAGCCUCCCAUAGGUUAAAUUUGCAAUAGAGAGGGAGAGAUCUAUCACUAAGUUCAUAUAUAUUCACGACGAGAUAUUGGUAGCCUUCCAUAGGUUAAAUCUGCAAUAGAGAGGGAAAGAUCUAUCACUAAGUUCAUAUAUAUUCACGCUAAUGUGAGUGAAAUGAUGAGAUCCUUUACCGAGGGAAAAGGGCUUGUUCAACCAGGUGUGACUAGAUUUGCACUCUCUUGUACUGAAGAAUCUAUGUGCACAGAAGAUGAACUCUGAAACAUAUGUUUGUUUCAUUGGAUCAGGUUGAGUCCUCUAGCUUUUCCAAUCACACAUAUGGUACCACCUUUGUACUCCUUGGUUUUUAUUUGUUGUGGAUAGAUGCCCAUGAAAUUGUGUAGAUCUAAGAGUUUGUGGUUGAAUUUCUGAGAUUGAUUGAUGGGGAAAAAUCCCCCACGGGAUUUUUUUUGAGGCCUUAUAUGGUCAAAAUGAGGCAAGAAGGUCCAGAAUGAAUAAUGGUCAGAAUAGGUAGUUGAGAGAUUAUUGAUGUUAGAUGGGAUCAACAAAUGCAUUGUUACUUUCAUGUUGCUGGAUACUGUCAUUGACACAUUCAAAGAUGAUGUAGAGGUGACACAAAGCCUAUUUAAAUAAAUUACAAUUUUUUUGUCUGAUGCAAACGAUUGACAAGCAGCUAUUGCAGGGGUGCAUAUGUUUUUUUUGACAUUAAUGUUGUAAACUCAAGGAAGACAUCAAAACUGGAUAUUAAAUUUUAAUCCAAUGAUUUGCAAUCAAGUUUCAGCAUUUAUCAUUUUGUUUAGUGAAAACAUGAAAUACUUGAUGAAUUUAUUAAUAAAUUUUGCUUUUGUAACUAAUAAUCUCAUAACAAUGAUGGGACUACUUUGGCAGAGAAACUAAAUUGCUUUAGUGGAUGGUAAUAAGUAUUCUAAGCCAACCAUACAGCUCUUCAUUCUUGGAGUGCAUUUGAACAUGCCCAAAAAACACAACCACCUGAGCUAACAAUGGAUGAAUAAUUUGGCAUUCACUCACCACAGCCUUUCUCUUCAGAUUAAGAAAAUUUAAGGUUAGAAACGUAGAAGUUACUAAGUUAACUAUUAAAUAUUGCUAAAAUUUAAUAAAGUUUAAUCUAACUUUCCUAUUUUACAUUCUAAGAACUUUAAGUUCAAACAAUUUGAAUUUCUAACAUACAUUAAUAGGCAACAAUUUAUACCUUGCAAAUAUUAGGUAGGUUUGAAGAUGAUCAACCAAUCGAUAUCAACAAGAGAGGUUCCAAAUUAGAAUGGAUCACCACCCAAUCGCCAAUGAAGAGCCAUCAUUUGACGAUGAGGAUUUGGCCAUCUUGAGUGAGGCAUUUGGUGAUCAAGACUGUAGUUGAAGGGAUGAGAACCAUGAUGCAAGGGUAUCUACUUUACAUUCUGUAGUCUAAGAGCCUCAUAAGUUGUGUUUUUUAGUUUGUCCUCCUAAGAAUUUGUAAGUAAUUGGCAACAUUAAAUAUUUAUGCUUUAUGUUUGUUAACGUUUCUAUGAACCAUAUUUUGCAUUAAUUAACAAUAAUAAUUGUUUCUUCUCUUCUGUAUUUUUGGGAAUAUUUCAACAAUUUUCAAUUUUCUUGGGUUUUCUGGUUUUAUACCCAAGUAAUUGAAUUUCAUUUACACUUUCAGUUUGCUGUGUCAAUGUUGGAUAAGUGGAACGCUACCAUGUAUAUAUGUAUUUUUUAUAUGUAUAUAGGUUUAUAAAUAUAGACAUUCCGACAUAAACAAAUAAUUAAAUAAAUAAAUAGAAAUGCCAAAUACUUAAUUUGAGUGAUUAGAUAAUGUCCAGGAAACAUUUCACAGGUUCUAAUGGUUUCAGGCUUUUUUUUAGGUGGAUUGUUGCUUGAUGUUAUAUUUUCGAAGUAAACUAUUUCUUUUGAUACCAGUAUUUUUGUGAACAAAUUCCUUGCCUUUGGUAGCUGAGGUUUUAUAAUAUGGAGUUUUGACCUGGGUUCACUUGAAAUUCAGUUUCCCAAUGGUUGAGGCUUUUGGAUUGUUGAAUUUAGAGAGUUUAUAGCGAGCACAUAGGAUAAACAGGGAACCAUACGAGAGGUUUUCUAUAUGGAGAGAGAGGCAUGUAGGUAAUUGCCUACAAAUGGUUGUAUAGGUUCUCUGAGUCUCAGAGAUUUUUUCCUUUAAUUGGUAAGUUUUGGUGAGAUUUCUAUUCUUUUGGGAAUAAGGCAACAAUUUUUUUGAUUUUAGUAGCUCAUGUCUGGGUAUGGGGUUCCUGCCAAGGGUUCUUGAGAAUGCAAUGUCUCAACUCCUGAGGCUGUGGAUUGCUGAACAUGAUUAUUCAUUUUCUAUUUCUUCCUGGUUACUUUUAUUUCAUUUAUUUGGGAAUUCAAUUUGCCAACGAUCAAAGGUGGUUGGUGGUGAAUGUAGAGAGCUUAUAGAGACUACGUAAUCUAAACAGGAUCCGCUAAGAGCAAUAUUUUUAAUGUGCUAAUUCUUUCUGAUUAUCGUUGAAGAGACCAUGUUUUGUUAUGAUGUGCAUUGUUUUUGCUUCAGUGUUCUUCAAGGAAUCUACAUCUAUCUUCAUCUUCUCUUAUUGGUUACUGCUGAAUAUACCGAAUUCUGUCAGUAGGUACUUUGUUUUUCUUUCAGUUUGGUUCUUGAAGGAUCUUGCAUCUUUUUUCCAUGAUUCUGUAUGAACCUCAUUAUUUAGUAAGCAUUCAAGUGCAUCUAUUUUAUUAAUGUUGUGCACUGGUUCUAUUUUUGCUGCUCAUGAUGCUUUAGCUUGAACUGACUUCAUAUGCUAAAGAAGCUUGGUAGAGCGUUUUUUCUUAUUGUGCUAUUUAUUUCUGAUUACUGUUUGAAGAUUCAAGUUUUCUAUGUAUUUUGUCUAAGUUACCAGGGUUGCCCUUGGACCCCCCUGGUACCGGUCCUGGUUCGAACGGGUUCCUGGUUCGGGUUCGGUUCGGACUGGGUUAGACCAGGGUUCGAAAAACCCAGAGCUGGUUCGUCCCUGGUCGAACCCAGUUCGAACCCGGGUGGCUGGGUGGCCCAAAAAAGCAAAUUAUAUGCAAAAUUUAAUUUUUUUUUGAAUUCUGCCUGCUAAAAAGUGAAACUUAUACCCUAAAAGUGAUUUCUAAAACAUUAUAUUCACUCAUUUCACCUCAUUUGUGUUGCAAACAAAAGUUUUGUGAGAGCAGGUUGAAAAAAGGGUGAACAAAAUUUGGUAUCAUUUUGUUGAAAGUGUUAUGAGAGCAGGUUGAGAGCAAGGAUUAAACUUUAUAUUGAGAGCAGGUUGAAGAAAGGAUUAAACUUUAUAUUGUUG